GAUAAAGUGACCUGACCUAUUCAACAGGAUCUCUCUCAUCAUGUCUGGAUCCCAUAUAUUCACUCUUGGAGUUGUUCCAUUCCAUUUGAACCAUAUCUUGCCUAACACAAUAAUGAAGUUUUCCAGGGAAUCACACGAGGUGCUAUCCUGUUAGUAAGCUCCAUUGGCUUGGUCCAAGCCUCCUUGAAGGCGGCCUUCUCAUCGUUCCUGUCCCCUGUUAACAGCUGGUACUUGUUCCCGGGGAUCCCCUGCCUUCUUAGCUGCAUUUCCAGCAUCUUAGGCUUCAACCAUACCAAGGUAACAUAUACUACAGAAAAUAGAAAUACUUGCGACCGAUACAAGGACUCACCUUCACCUACACAAUACAGUCU